AUAAUCGGGAAGCUAUGAAGAAUUUUCUUUAUUUGGGCACUUAGAGAAUUUGGAGCUAGUAGUGCAACCGGCCAACAAUUAA
rnacentral:ncRNA from 1 species